rnacentral:lncRNA from 1 species
CCACAAACACGAUACACAACCACUACGAAUGGGAAGCUUCCACAAGGUAAGAUGGUACCAUCACUCUUCAAUUAAGGUAACAUCUUAAGAUAUCUGACUAUCACUUUUAUAAGCUUCUCCUUGGUUCUAGCGUUCACAUAAAUAAAGAGACAAACAUGUAUGAUUUAUAAAUCCAAAUUAACCAACCCAACUGAUUCAGCAUGUUUAGUCCUUUAAUCUUUGUUCUUAGUACUACCUCCAUGAUCCCACACUCAUAAUCAUAUGAGCUAAAAUGUUACACAUUCAAUCAUUGAGAGAUAUAAAGAAAAAGACAUAUACAUAGAUAGAUUAUCUUUCCAUAAGGUUGACGAUCUGAUCUGACAAAUGUUAUAAGUGCUACACUCAUGAACUUUUCAUCCAUCAACUUUGUCUUGCUCACUAUCUUAGGGUUAGAGAAGAACAAAUACACUUUAGGUUCUGUUGGUGUUUUCCACCAACAGGACCCAUGCACUUGAUCUCUGCCUUGUCUCUAUGAGCAGGUACACUUCGAGCAAAACACGGAGGAGUUUUAUAACUCUCAGACUCUACCAAGUGAAGGACCUGGAUCUACGAGCACAAACACAUUGAGCAGGAUACUGCCAACACCGCACUUCGAACUGCUGGGCAAACGAAGAGGUGCAGACGUCAAGGUCCGCACCUAAAUCAAAUGACGCACCUGAAGAAUGAACACGGUGAGAAGUCGUGUUAAGAAGACUUAAAACAUUGAACCCUUGCCGAAAGGUAAGAUCGGUAGUUAUCCAUAUUUAUCCUUUCUGCAUUCCCUUUUCCCUUUAAUUAUUUACUUUCCUUAAAUAGAUUAUUAGUUAAUCAUGCUAUCUUGAAAAGAAAAUAAAAAUGUUAAAAAAUACUAAGCCCCAUGUGAGUAUAUGAGUGGCAUAAAACCCAUAAGUACCUUCACUGUGGUGGCAUAAAAAUAAAAUAAAUAUUUCUUUUCUGCUUUAUAAAAUAAAAAUAUAAAAAUAGGGAGUAAUAUUUAUUGAGGAAGCUCAACAUGAUGAAGGCUAGAUAUUUAUGCUAACACUUAAUUAGUUCCACAAGCUUUGUUGUCUAUUUGAGCUCCACAGAAUUUAAGAAUCAAGAAGACUAGCAGACGGAGGACAUUCUAAUCGCUGUCAGAAUGCUGCUGACUUUCAAAUACACCUCUGCCAUCUACUAGCUACAUCAAGAGAAAUUACGUCAAAAUUCAGCUUGGGGGAGAGCACCCCCAUUUAUCUCGCUAAGUAUUUCUACCUAUCUUUAUACUUAUAUUAUGUUAAAAUAUUAAAAUACAUAAACUAUGAAAAACCAAAUAAAGAUUUUGUGCUUAUAUAUAUAUCUUUUGCUUAGUGUGUUUAAUAAAUAAAUAAAGUGGCUAUGCUAAUCUGAAUCUUAAUAAUGAAACUCUAGCAUGGAUAUGAUGAAUAGUUGCUCUGCCUAAUUCGCAAAUUUCAAGUUCUCUCUCAAGUUUAGACAUAACUGAUAUAAUUUAAAGCUUGCUCUAGAUCUAAACUUGUGGGAUGAAAACUUGAUGUGAAAUCUAAGUUGUUAACGGAUAUGAUAUGGGAAGGUUGAGCUGCUGUUUAUCUGUUCCUAGAGAUGCUAGAAUUCUGGAGAAUUUUAUCUUUGAAAAAUCUUUAAAAUAUUGCAUGAUGAGUUCCUGUAUGAUGAGAGUUUAAAUUCCUACCACAGCCAUAUAUACAUGCUUGCUAGACUUUGAGCCACACAUUUACUAUUUACUGCUUAUGAGCAUUGAGUGUGGUCAAGCUGUGUAGACCCUUAGGAGCUUGUCAUGUGGUUAAAUCAAGAUUCACUUGCACGUUCACUCAUAUAUGCUACUUCUACUCCAGAAGUACCAUCCACAUAUAUCCAUCCAUGUCCAUCUCCAGAACCACCCAAAAAUAUUCUACUCCUAAUCCGGGAGAGAAUAGCCAAAAAUAUUUUUGUUUUCCCUUAUGAAAUAAAUGCUCAAGUUAUCUUGCUACUACCACUUGCUAUAUUAUCUCAAGAGAUGAGUGCUCUGAAAGAAAAGAAGAAAAGAGAAGAAAAAAAAUAAAUGAGGAAAUAAAAAGGGGCAAGUGCCCGGAACCUCGAAAGAAAGAAAAAGUGAGACGAGAGGUAAAAAUGGACAAGUGUCCGACAGUAGAAUUAGGGGUACAAGGUACCCACCUGAGAGGAAAGAAAAAGAAGAGCAUCUCAUUCUCCUCAUAAAGUUUCAAAAAUCAAGAAAGGUAUGUAUCCCCUCAAAAGAGCAAAAGUAGAAUUAGACUUUCACCAUUGUUAUCACCAUCAUCACCAUACACCAUUCAUUCGCCACACAUGCACAUCUUGAUUUGGCUUAUUGAUUUGUUUCUUUGGAUCCAUGGUUUGACUAUACAAUAAAUGUCUUGUAAGUAUGUAUACUUUAUCUCCCACCUAUGAGCUCCAGAUAUUAAAGCCUUAUUAGAGUAGGGUGAGAGAGAAGGCAAUGUCACUAUGCCUUAUACCACAAAUACCACAUAUCUUGAGAGAAGGCAUAUACCAUCACUGCCUUGGUAAGGAUCCAGAAAUACCACAAAAGAGAGAUUUAGAGAGUCAUACAAGGAACCUCUGAGUUUUAUUUGAAAAUCUGCAAAAACUCCAGAGCUAUAGCUGAUCAAGAAUAAGAGACAUGGCACUUGGCUAGACUGUUCUAUCUUUUAAAUACUCAAGACAGAAGUGACGGUUACAAGUCCCAUGGUGAAAGGUAAAGUAAGUAAGUUUUAGUUCUUGACAGUUUACUCUAACUCAGAGAUAAGAUCUUAUUUAAAAGCAUGUGUACCGUCAAAUUUUUAAGAUAUUGCAACAACUUCUGAUCCAUUGCUGAGUCUAUCCUUGCUCAGGGACAAGCAAGAGGUAAGCUUGGGGGAGUUUGUUGACGGUCCUUAAGUAUCAAAUUUAAUUAUCAAAUAAACAAAGAAAAGGAUCCAAAUGAAAUCAACAUCUAGACUUAGGGUUUCAUCUGACAGAAUUCCAUGAGUUUUGGUGUUUGUCUAUUUCUGCAGGGGGUUAUCAGGAAAUACGGAAGAAAGGCCCACACAUCGGGAUUACAUAGAGAUAUUAACGUGCCACGCAAUUAUCUUACAUCUAGAAGACUCCAGAAGCCACGAGACCGAAGCGGAGAGGAAACAGGGCCAGAGGUAGGGCUCCCGCCCUCCUGCCCUGGGCGCCGCCCCCUCUGAGAGUCCAAUCAGGACUCUGCUUCGUGGGAGAUCUCCACCGACCUAAAGGAUCAAGGAUAACCGUUCAAUCAAUGUCGGUUUGAUCCGAUGGCCUAGGUUCACUUGACAGACCCCCUGGCCCC